rnacentral:lncRNA from 1 species
GCCCUGUAUCCUGCAGAGGAGAGGGAAGCAUCAGGAAGCUCUCGUGGCCUGGUGGGCAAGAUGAGGUGUACAUAAGGAUGUCCACUGUGUGUGUGCACAGCGGAAGAGAGAGUCGGAGUUCCAGCCUCUUCCCAGAGAGGGGGGCACUGGAGAGAGCACCUGGCUGAGAAUGUGGUCUCUGUGGUGGUAUUUCAUGAAGAAAUAGGAGAAAAAAACAAGAAAGAAGAACUCAAAGCCAAAGAAAACGCAGAUCCCACACAACUUCCUGUGUUAAUUGUUCCAUGUGGAUUCAACUGUUCUCGGUUUUGGGAGAAAUAUAUAUUUUUUCAGGUCUCAAAUAAUCUGCCCCUGAACUCAAAGGGCGAUGAGGCCCCCAAACAGCCUUUAGCUAUCACCAAACAGGCUUCUUACCCUGGGCACCCUCUUUACUCCUUAAGCUUAUGCCCCCUUUUGCCACAAACAAUAUUGGGACCCAAAGACAGAGCCAGCACUACUUACAAAUUUAAAAUCACUAGGCAAGUUACAGUGAAUCAAACAAACUUCACUCCUACUUUACAUUUUCAAAUCCAUUUGCCCUUACUAGAAUCAAUUUGA